UUUCGUAGACCUAGCGCCUCACCGCCUCCCUGGAACCCGCCGCAGUGCGCAAGCGCGCAACAUCUCCGUUUCCCUCCCCUCAGCCCCUCACCCCCCCCCCUCCUUUCCCCUUCAAGAAGCCGGCUCCGGGGCGCGCUCACCCCUGUGAGGAGGCCGGAGGCCGGACACAGGAGGCGCUCUCCAUUCCCGGAAGAUCAUGUACCAGCCCAGCCGGGGGGCGGCCCGGCGCCUCGGCCCCUGCCUUCGCGCCUAUCAGGCUCGUCCCCAGGUGAGAGCCGAGAGGAAGCGGGAGGGGAGAGGAGGGGGCGGGGAGAGACCCUCCUCAGCCGGCGCGUGGGGCGGAGCGCGCGUCCCGUUUCGCGCAGGCGUACUGACGUCCCACCGCUCCUUCCCACCUGUGCGGAGCGGCGCGUGGAGGGGCGAGGGGUCUCAGGGACCGGAGGGCGGCGCUGCCAGCCCUGUCGCGCACGGGACGUCUGUCUCCUGGAUCUUGCGGGGCAGGCGGGGUUGAGGCUGGCGCGGUGGGGCGCGGCCGCAUUUCUCCCGCGUCUUCGCGGUUACCUGUGUCUGGAGGUGAUUUGAAGGACAGAGGGCGGAGAGGUUCGCGGCGCCUCCAGGGAGCCGACCAGACGGACCUGCGGGCCGCGCUCUGCAGCCCACGCAUCUUGCACCGGGAUAGCGGUCCCGGCGGGAAGGCCGGCCCGAGUGGACCCGGUUCGGGCCCUUGUGCCCGGGCGGGCAAGAUGGCCACGCCCCCGGCGGAGACGGCGCCUCCGGGACACCGUCGGGGACAGAGGACCAGUCUUCUCCAUGGGCUCUACCAUUCCCACCCCUUUGGCCUCACUCCACAACAACCACUUCUCCAUCUUUGCCUCUUUUCUGGUCUCCCCCACCCCCAAGUCCUCCCACCCGACUGCUUCCCCCAGCUCCCCCACUGCCUCUCCCUCAGGUCCAAGCCCUCACCUCACCAUGGGUGGUUCUCCCCCCAGGAAAGGGGGAGGAGGGGCCAGGACCCGAGUUACAUAGCGGCUGCCUGGAUGGGCUCAGGAGCCUGUUUGAGGGGCCUCCUUGCCCCUAUCCUGGAGCUCUGAUACCUUUCCAAGCCCCUGGAACCGCCCACCCUUCCCCUGCCACUCCAUCAGGAGAUCCGAGUAUGGAGGAGCACCUGGCUGUCAUGUAUGAGAGACUGAGACAAGAGCUUCCCAAUCUCUUCCUUCACUCCCACGACUACACUCUCUACUCAUCGGAUGUGGAAUUCAUCAAUGAGAUCCUCAACAUGCGUACCAAAGGCCGGACAUGGUACAUUCUGUCACUGACUCUCUGCCGCUUCCUGGCCUGGAACUAUUUUGCACAGCUUCGGCUGGAAAUUCUGCAGCUGACACGCCACCCUGAGAAUUGGACCCUGCAAGCCCGCUGGCGGCUUGUGGGACUGCCCAUCCACCUCCUCUUUCUUCGUUUUUAUAAGCGUGACAAGGAGGAGCUUUACCGGACCUAUGAUGCCUAUUCCACCUUCUACCUGAAUUCCAAUGGCCUCAUUUGUCGCCAUCGCCUAGACAAACUGAUGCCUUCACAUUCACCCCCCGCACCUGUGAAGAAGCUGUUAGUGGGAGCCCUGGUGGCUCUGGGGCUGUCGGAACCAGAACCCAACUUACACCUGUGUUCGAAGGACUGAUCAGGAAUUGGGGCAGAGGCAGCACUGAUGACUUUGCUACGCACAAAAAGAAGCGGUGGAGGCAGCUGAGAGCCUCAGAGCCAGUUACCUCCCCAAUUCCCUCUCCUCCUCUACUUUCCAUCUCAUGCUAUGUAAAGCUGCUGUGUAAUUUAACUUGUAAAUAAUAAAAUCUACAUGAAUAUAUGA